rnacentral:rRNA from 1 species
AACGAACGCUGGCGGCAUGCCUAACACAUGCAAGUCGAACGAGACCUUCGGGUCUAGUGGCGCACGGGUGCGUAACGCGUGGGAACCUGCCCUUAGGUUCGGAAUAACUCCCCGAAAGGGGUGCUAAUACCGGAUAAUGUCUUCGGACCAAAGAUUUAUCGCCUUUGGAUGGGCCCGCGUUGGAUUAGCUAGUUGGUAGGGUAAAAGCCUACCAAGGCGACGAUCCAUAGCUGGUCUGAGAGGAUGAUCAGCCACACUGGGACUGAGACACGGCCCAGACUGAUAGGGAAGGCAGAAGUAGGGAAUGUUACGGAAGGGGCGAAAGACGGACGGAGCAACGCCGCGGGAGGGAUGAAGGGCUUCGGAGCGUAAAACUCUGUGAGUAGGGAAGAACAAAUGUGUAAGGAAAUAUGCACGUCUUGACGGGAACUAAGCAGAAAGCCACGGCUAGCUACGUG